UAAGCGGAGGAAAAGAAACUAACGAGGAUUUCCUUAGUAACGGCGAGCGAACCGGAAGUAGCCCAGCUUGAAAAUCGCGCGGUUCCACCGUGCGAAUUGUAGUCUGGAGAAGCGUCCUCUGCAGCGGACCGGGCCCAAGUUCCCUGGAACGGGACGUCGGAGAGGGUGAGAGCCCCGUCGAGCUCGGACCCUGCUGCUCCACGAGGCGCUGUCGGCGAGUCGGGCUGUUUGGGAAUGCAGCCCUAAGCGGGUGGUAAAUUCCAUCCAAGGCUAAAUAUGGGCAAGAGACCGAUAGCGAACAAGUACCGCGAGGGAAAGAUGAAA
rnacentral:rRNA from 1 species